GCAGACAAUUCAUUUUCGAUAAAACCUACGAAACAAUAAAGAUUUUUAUUUAUUAUAUCUAAAGAAAAAUAGAAAAAUGGUUUUCUAUGAUCAAGGUAACCACAAAUUCACCAAAAUUUCACAAUUAUUCGAUCUUAUGAAAACAUGUUGUCUUUCGUUUUAAAAAAUAGAUCUAAAUCGCUGAGUAGUAAUAUACACUAUCAGAUCUUCAUUGAGUGGUCCAGAUCCAAAAUAUAAUAAUACACAUAAACAAAGAGAUGAUAGUAUAAAGCUAAAAUGUAAACUUACUUACAU
rnacentral:lncRNA from 1 species